UUUUUUAAUUAAACCCUUCUCUUUCUCCCCAAACCAGCUUAUCUGGUUCAAACCACAAACAUCUAUGCCUUUUCAGUUUUCCAAAACAACUUAUCUCAUUCAAAAUUCAAAUUCAUUUUUUCUCCUGCACCUUAUUUCCCUUUUCCUUUCAGCUGAGAAACCCUAAAACUUUUGGUUGUUUCAGAGGUUUCUUACAUGAUUAUGAUUUAGGGUUUUUUUUAAGUUUCUUUUUUACUGGAUUCGUAGGUGGAUGAUUGGGGGCUCAUAACCAGACACCGAAACCCUAAGAGGGUGCCAUCACCUCCGCCGCUGAAUAGCGGAUACACGUCGAAGUUACAAGCCCGUCGAAGCUCAUAACCAACAUCGCCAUCGUUGAGAAGUAUUGAUUACAGGGUUUUAGUUUCUCAAAUCAUCCAAAUCUCCGAUUCAAGUCUCAGAUUCUGGUUAAUAUCAUCGAGUGACUGUGGAGAAAAAAAACGAGACCAGUGUGUUACAUCGGUCUUGGCCCGGGUUAGGUUCUGAGGCGCUCAUUAAAGCGAAAUCGGAUGGAGUUUGUCGUUGGUACCGGAGAAACCAUUUGGGCUGGAUUUGUUGCUGAAUUAUGCAGCAUAGGUAAUGGAAUUGACGAAGGAAUUGACGAAGAAAUCGGAUGGAGUUUGUCGUUGGUACCGGAGAAACCAUUUGGGCUUUUGCACUUUAUGCUGAUGU